rnacentral:rRNA from 1 species
UACAGAGGUCCCAAGCGUUCUUCGGAAUCACUGGGCGUAAAGGGUGCGUAGGCGGCCGGGAAAGUCUGACGUGAAAUCCCACCGCUUAACUGUGGAACUGCCUUGGAAACUGCCCGGCUCGAGUCCCGGAGAGGGAAGCGGAAUUCCAGGUGUAGCGGUGAAAUGCGUAGAUAUCAGGAGGAACACCAGUGGCGAAGGCGGCUUGCUGGACGGGUACUGACUCUGAGGCACGAAGGCCAGGGGAGCAAACAGG